AGAGCGAACGCUGGCGGCAGGCCUAACACAUGCAAGUCGAGCGCCCCGCAAGGGGAGCGGCAGACGGGAGAGUAACACGUGGGAACGUACCCUUCAGUUCGGGACAACCCAGGGAAACUUGGGCUAAUACUGGAUACGUCCGUAAGGAGAAAGAUUUAUCGCUGAAGGAUCGGCCCGCGUCUGAUUAGCUAGUUGGUGAGGUAACGGCCCACAAGGCGACGAUCCGUAGCUGGUCUGAGAGGAUGAUCAGCCACACUGGAACUGAGACACGGCCAGACCCCUACGGGAGCAGCAGUAGGGAAUAUGGACAAUGGGCGCAAGCCUGAUCCAGCCAUGCCGCGUGUGUGAAGAAGGCCUUCGGGUUGUAAAGCACGUUUUGACCGGAAAGAAAAGCGCUGGUUAACACCGUGGUGUCCUGAACGGUACCGGAAGAAGUAAGCGACCGGCUAACUUCGUGCCAGCAGCCGU
rnacentral:rRNA from 1 species